GGGGAUAACUACUGGAAACGGUAGCUAAUACCGCAUAACGUCGCAAGACCAAAGAGGGGGACCUUCGGGCCUCUUGCCAUCAGAUGUGCCCAGAUGGGAUUAGCUAGUAGGUGGGGUAACGGCUCACCUAGGCGACGAUCCCUAGCUGGUCUGAGAGGAUGACCAGCCACACUGGAACUGAGACACGGUCCAG
rnacentral:rRNA from 1 species